rnacentral:rRNA from 1 species
GAUGAACGCUGGCGGCGCGCCUAACACAUGCAAGUCGAACGGCACCCCUCCUCGGAGGGGAGCGAGUGGCGAACGGCUGGGUAACACGUGGAGAACCUGCCCCCUCCUCCGGGAUAGCCGCCCGAAAGGACGGGUAAUAUAGGAUACCACGGGGUGCCGCAUGGCACCCCGGCUAAAGGGCCGACGGGGGGGGAUGGCUGGGCUGCCCACCAGGUAGACGGCGAGGUGACGGCGCACCGUGCCGACAACGGGUAGCCGGGGAGAGAGACCGGCCGGCCAGGGUGGGACUGAGGCACGACCCAGACUCCUACGGCAGGCGGCAGUAGGGUAGCUUGAGCAAUGGGGGGAAGCCUGACGCAGCGACGCCGCGUGAGGGACGGAGGCCGUCGGGUCGUAGACCGCGUUCAGCAGUGAGGAGUCAUGACGGUACCUGCAGAAGAAGCACCGGCUAACUACGUG